UGAAUUAUAGCUUGAUAACACUAUUACAAAAACAAAAACAAAAACAAAAACAAAAGAAUACCCUUACUGAUUGUUUUAAGGCAAUAACCAUUGAGAUGAGUAAGAGUCACUGUGACUUUCAGGUCGAUUCAGAGUUACAGGGUUAAUAGCGAUGACACUGGGUUUCAGGAUGACUCAGGACCAGCCAAGAGGCUUAUUCAAAGGUGCCUAGAGCUACUUUUCACAGGGGCUGGCCACGCUCACCUGUGAGGGCUCAGCGGUUGAGCAGGUCACGCACAAAGAAAAGUCACAAUUGUUUCAGCUUUGGGCCUUCCCCGCUCUCUACUCUGAGACUCCCUGGGCUUGGAACCUGGGACAGUUUUGCAAGCCACAGAACUUUAGCCCCGUUGGCAGGACACUGCCUCGGAGGGGACACUUUCUGAUGCCAGAUCCAACGUGGAUGUGAUUACAGCCCCGGAGUUUAGAAAUAGCAGCAAAGUAGCCAAAGAAGUAGGUUCCAGAAGCUAAUCUGAGCAGGAGUGUCACACACCCAGAGUCAUACGCAUCCCUCCUCAAUGAGAGUGACCUGUCACAGGGGACACGGCGGGGGCGGGGAGGGGGAGGUGGAUUUUCAGAGCAAUUACGAAAUGUGCAUUCUCCCUCCAGCUCCAGCUCUGCCUGCACACCUUGGGCCUUGCCUGGAACUUCUCGCCCGGCGAUGGGGCAUAUCUGGACAGCGAGAACCUGAAUCUGAACAUUGCCUGGGAAGCCCAGAAUCAAAUCCCCGGGUCAAUACUUGCUCGACACCCACUGUCCAGUUUAAGAAGCUUGAAAAAGAGGAUCCAGGGAGGGGAGAAAUCCCGUGCACAGUGGAGCAUGUGAUGCUGUGAGUAUUGCAAAUAUGCUCCAUCCGGCCAAAAUCAUGUCUGCAAUCAGGGCGAUGAGAAGCCCUUGCACGAAAAGAAGCGCCCUUGCCGAUAAGAGGAUGUUUCUUAUCAGGAGAAUUUUCUGCGAGGUCUUCACAUCUCGAGUCCACCCGCCACUCCGGGGGGAGUUGGGAGGAGAAAAGGCAAUAAAAGUGAUGAAGAGGCUGGAGGGCUCAGGAGCCAAGACGAAACGACAGCUUGGCCGUCGCACAGAUUUAGGGGAGACGCAGCCCCCAUCUGGCAGAUGGUCCCCGAUGGAAGGAGAAGCUGGGAGGGUCUGGGAGGACCGAGGAGGAGUAACGAUGGGAGGUUACGCAAGGGAAGUGAUAGGCUGAUAAUCAGGCCGAUUUCUGGGCAGAGAGCCUGUUUCGGAGAAUGAUGGCAUUCCAGGCGCCCUGGACUUGCUCUGCGGCUCCAUACAGCGAACAUUUUAGGAGAUCAAAGUCUUAGAAGCUGCUCUGUUGGGAGUGGCUGCCUCCCACCCCCUGCUCAGAUGUUUUAUCUCCUGUCUCUUUCACAUGUUUGGAAACGCCGAGUGCGUUUGUGGCCCAGGAUUUCAGGGUGGUGGAUGGGACUCUGGCCCCUGAACACAGGCUCCAGGAGAGCUGAGCAAAGAGGAGCAGAUGGAUGAGCUAGCUGGAGAGCAUUUGUAUCCGCCCAGGGAGCGAGGGAUGGGAGCGGGACCAGGCGAAGGGGGUGUUCUGGGAAUACGGGGCAAACAGCUGACACGCUUCUGGCCUCUGGUCUGAGCUGAGCGAACAUUUACCUGGUUUCCUCCUGGGCCAGUUUCUUUUUGUUUUGUUUUGUUUUUACAGCCCAACCUGCAGCAUAUGGAAGUUCCCAGAUGAAGGGUUGAAUUG